UACAUAGGUCUCAAGCGUUGUUCGGAUUCAUUGGGCGUAAAGGGUGCGUAGGUGGCGAGUCAAGUCAGAUGUGAAAUCCCGGGGCUCAACCCCGGAACUGCAUUUGAAACUGCCUUGCUCGAGUACUGGAGAGGAGACUGGAAUUUACGGUGUAGCAGCGAAAUGCGUAGAUAUCGUAAGGAAGACCAGUGGCGAAGGCGAGUCUCUGGACAGUUACUGACACUGAGGCACGAAGGCCAGGGGAGCAAACGGG
rnacentral:rRNA from 1 species